rnacentral:rRNA from 1 species
GGCAUUUACUGACGCUGAGGAGCGAAAGCAUGGGGAGCGAACAGGAUUAGAUACCCUGGUAGUCCAUGCCGUAAACGUUGGGCACUAGGUGUGGGGGACAUUCCACGUUUUCCGCGCCGUAGCUAACGCAUUAAGUGCCCCGCCUGGGGAGUACGGCCGCAAGGCUAAAACUCAAAGGAAUUGACGGGGGCCCGCACAAGCGGCGGAGCAUGCGGAUUAAUUCGAUGCAACGCGAAGAACCUUACCAAGGCUUGACAUGUGCCAGACCGCUCCAGAGAUGGGGUUUCCCUUCGGGGCUGGUUCACAGGUGGUGCAUGGUUGUCGUCAGCUCGUGUCGUGAGAUGUUGGGUUAAGUCCCGCAACGAGCGCAACCCUCGUUCCAUGUUGCCAGCACGUAGUGGUGGGGACUCAUGGGAGACUGCCGGGGUCAACUCGGAGGAAGGUGGGGAUGACGUCAAAUCAUCAUGCCCCUUAUGUCUUGGGCUUCACGCAUGCUACAAUGGCCGGUACAAUGGGUUGCGAUACUGUGAGGUGGAGCUAAUCCCUAAAAGCCGGUCUCAGUUCGGAUUGGGGUCUGCAACUCGACCCCAUGAAGUCGGAGUCGCUAGUAAUCGCAGAUCAGCAACGCUGCGGUGAAUACGUUCCCGGGCCUUGUACACACCGCCCGUCAAGUCACGAAAGUUGGUAACACCCGAAGCCGAUGGCCUAACCACCUUGUGUGGGGGGAGUCGUCGAAGGUGGGACUGGCGAUUGGGACUAAGUCGUAACAAAGGUAAC